rnacentral:lncRNA from 1 species
GUGGUCUCUCCUCUUCCCAUACACACCUUACGGAUUCUUCACAGGGUGUGAUGAUGGGAAGCCUAGACACGCUUAUCAGAAGUUUGUCCUCUUAUCGGGAUACGUCAGAAAUUAGAGAGACCCUGGCAAUCACAGCUUCCACCUCCUCAUUUUACAAAUGAGCAACUAGGCUCAGAGUACAGAAGUGGCUUUCCCAGGGUCACACAGCCAGCUUGUGACAGAGUCAGGAUUCAAGUACCAUCUCCUGACUUCUCCAUUGCACCAGACGUCGAUAGAACACAGAGAACCUAAAAGAAGAAAGAAAAAAAAAUAGAGCUUUUGGGAAUAUAUUGGGCUUCUGGUUUUCAAGGACAAUUUUAUGAUAAGUAGCAAUGAUGCCUCAAAAGCUCUGGUAGCUAGCUUGAAUGAACUUAUGUAAUAAACAUUUAUCACAGAACAUGUGUCAUCAAACACCUGCCAGUUCUGAGCGUUGGCACCAAAGCUGCUUUCAUUGUCAAAGAAAAGAGGGGGAAAGGAACUUGGCUGAACAAAGCUGGCAGACGUUUAUACUAGAAAAUUUAGAGGUAAUUUCUAGAGGAACAGAAACACAUUUUCAAAGUCUUAUAAAAUUUAUUUAAAUGUGAUUGGGUGAAUUUAGCAGUUAAAGAAGUGAAGAACACUGAGGUCCAAUUGGUGCCUGAGGCUUCUUCCAGGACCCAGUCUUUUCUGUCUGCCUUGGGCACAGAUUUCUAGAUGCCUGAAGAUGGACAGGCCCAGAGGUUGCCCAGAGUGAUGUCUGAGAUUACUGAUCUCUAUCUAGGCUUCCAUAGAAACACAUCCCAAAACGUUCUUGGUUCUUAUUGGAAUCUCAUCUCAUUUGCAGAACAUGGCCAGAGUCAAAGAGACAUGGACCAUGUGUCACUCAGACUGAGUCCAUCCAUACAAAGAGAAUUCUCUAGCCUGUAUUGGAAGUCAAUCUACAUCAGCAUGACAGGGCAUGUAGCCGAAUACGUGGCCACUUCCCUUUGGCUACCCACACAUUUUUGAACUGCAAGAUCUGUUCUUUAUCUACUCAUCUAAUGGUUAUUACUGGGAGAGCACUGGACUAUAAAUUCUGUUGCACUUGCAGGUGUAAUGAGCUCUUUGAACCUCAGUUUCCUCACCCAUCAGAUACUAUUCAUUAUCUGCCUUGCGGACAACACCUAGUUGUUGGGAACAUUGCAUGAAUGGCAGGUGGAGGUGCUUUGUAAACGCUAAAGCCUGCCAUGAAUGUGAAGGAGUGUUGCUACUCUUCUGUGCCCAACAAUGUGCUAGCACCAAGGGAGUUCAAAAGAAAUGUGAGACAUGGUCCCUACCCUCCAGGAACUUACAACUCAUUGUUGGGAGACCAAGACACAUCCCCUAAAAACAGAUAUGUAACACCUCAAGUCUGUGAAGUACUUACUAUUUAAAUGAUGCCCAGAGCCUCUGAAUCCCCUAGAAGUACAGAGGAGGGGGAGAUCAUUAAUGGUGUGGAGAAGUUGGAGGAGGUGAGACGAUGCCAGGUGAUAAAGUAGACAGAGAAGAUGAAGGUCUUUUUUUUGAGACAGGGUCUCACCCUGUUGCCCAGGCUGGAGUGCAGUGGCAUGAUCGGCCCACUGCAACCUCCACCUCCUAGGUUCAAGCAAUUCUCGUGCCUCGACUUCCUGACAUAGCUGGGACUACAGGCGCACACCGCCACACCCGGCUAAUUUUUGUAUUUUUAGUAGAGACAGGGUUUCACCAUGUGGGCCAUGCUGGUCUCGAACUCCUGACCUCAAGCAAUCCACCCACCUCAGCCUCCCAAAGUUCCGGGAUUACAGAUGUGAGCCACUGUGCCCUGGCCUGAAGAAGGUCUUUAUGGGUACGGCAUGACUGCUGGAGAGUUUUGUCACCGCUGCUUAAGGAAGAGCUUCCCAAUGUUGGAUAUGUCUGUAACUUCAUAAUUUUUUUUUAAUUUUGCGCUUUUGUGAAUUUCCUCAAUUGGCUUUCUUAUUGGCCCCCAGGAUCACACAGAACACUUCAAACUCCUCUUACGUGUUCUUGAUUUCAUCAUUUAGCUGAAGAUGCAGGCCCUGUCUUUCUUUCUGAGUUUUCCUUAGCACCCUCCUUUUAAAUUACCUUUUUCAUUGGUUAAAUGCCAUGAAACUUCAUCAAUUCUAGUUUUAGCUAUCACUUGACCCAAAGACAAGAGAGUUGAAUCCUGGACCUUAAAGAAAAAGAAAAAAGGAAAAAAAGCUUGUGGGAACCUUAUUUACCUCAACUGGGGAAAUUUUUUGCUCUUGCGCAAAGGUCAGGUCCCGUGAAACUUGUGAAAUAGGUGUUUUUAUCUCUUUUCUUUUCCAACUGAUCAGAUAGAUAUCUUUCCAGGAAUUUGGUGUCAGAAAUCAAAUUCAAUGAGUGGGAAGUUUGACAAGAUUCAGGAUAGUCUUGCCAAAUAGCACAAGAGAGGAGGUAAAGUUAGGUCAGGUCAAGGGGGCAGCAAAAAUGAAGUUUAUAACAGAUAUACUGUAUAUUUGUCAUGGGAAAGGGCUUCAGUCAAUAGCAAUUGAUAUUAAUAAAACAUAAAAGAAAUGACAAUAAA